UCUACUUUCAAUAAACUUAAGGCUUAGAAUAAGAUUCUGCUUUUUUAAAAGUCAUUUUAGUGUGUGUGUGUGUGUGUGUGUGUGUGUGUGUGUGUUUGUGUGUGUGUGUGCGCGCGUGCGCCUGCAUGUAUGAUAUGACAGGACCUCUGCUGUCAUAAACUCUCAGAAGCUGUGGCUUCCUAUAAAAGAGCUGCACAACCCAGCCACCAAACCUCCGACCUACAGUCUGUCCUGCCUGCAGAGCGUUCGAGGACUGGAGCCUAGCAGAGUCAUCAGAGACCAGAGAGACUCCAUCCAGCAACCGGAAAGAAAGGCAGAGUGGUCACCGCUCUGCCCGAGGAUCACGGCACCCUACUGAGACUGUUUCCCUGAAACCCAAAUAAACUAAAGUCCUUUAUGAAGCCUGCUGAGAAGACCAAAAGAAAAAGG